UUGUAAAGGAGGCGCGUCAUGGCUGCAACAAACCCUUUAAACAAGCACAGGUGCAAAUGAUCACCUUCAUCAGUGACAGGUAGGAGAACAUUAGAAGAUUCCUCUGGAGCGCUGCAAGAGAAAGAAAAGUUCAUUAACUAUUAACAGAAAUCAAGCUCACCUUCAUUCUCGUCUGAACGGCGCUGAUGUUAGGACUCUCCUGACUGUCGCUGUCCAGGUGCCUUCAGACGACCAACACAAAAAACAAAAAAAACAGCUUUGUCAUCGCUUCAUGUGACUGUGUCCUCCUUGGUGAGCUCCGGUACGACCAGAAACGUCUUCCAGCCCUGACGCUUCUUAGAUUUGAGGAUGUCGCCGAAGAUGUGGUCGCCAAUGUAGAGGAUGUUUUUCCCUCUGACCUCCAGCAGAUCACAGAUGACGUCUGAAGAUCCUGCAAACAGACAUUUGUUUUAAAAAAAAAAAAA